rnacentral:rRNA from 1 species
GGUGAACGCUGGCGGCGUGCCUAACACAUGCAAGUCGAGCGGGUACCCGCAAGGGUACCAGCGGCGCACGGGUGAGUAACACGUGGGUAGUCUACCCCUCGGAGGGGGAUAACCGGGGGAAACUCCGGCUAAUACCCCAUACGAUCCAACAACACAAGUUGUUGGAUGAAAGGAGCGUUUGCUCCGCCGAGGGAUGAGCCCGCGGCCCAUCAGGUAGUUGGUGGGGUAAUGGCCCACCAAGCCUACGACGGGUAGCCGGCCUGAGAGGGUGGUCGGCCACAAGGGCACUGAGACACGGGCCCUACUCCUACGGGAGGCAGCAGUGGGGAAUCUUGGACAAUGGGCGAAAGCCUGAUCCAGCGACGCCGCGUGGGGGAUGAAGCCCUUCGGGGUGUAAACCCCUGUUGCGAGGGAGGAAUAAGGCCUGGAGGAAAUGCCAGGCCGAUGACUGUACCUCGCGAGGAAGCCCCGGCUAACUACGUGCCAGCAGCCGCGGUAAUACGUAGGGGGCGAGCGUUACCCGGAUUCACUGGGCGUAAAGCGGGUGUAGGCGGCUCGGUAAGUCGGGUGUGAAAUCCCACAGCUCAACUGUGGAAUUGCGCCCGAAACUGCUGAGCUUGGGGCCGGUAGAGGGAGACGGAACUGCCGGUGUAGGGGUGAAAUCCGUAGAUAUCGGCAGGAACGCCGGUGGGGAAGCCGGUCUCCUGGGCCGCGCCCGACGCUGAGACCCGAAAGCUAGGGGAGCAAACC